rnacentral:tRNA from 1 species
CGGAAAGGGAGGGAUUCGAACCCUCGGUA